rnacentral:tRNA from 1 species
CCAGAGGGUAGCCUAAACACCUAAGGCACUCAACUUACAAUUGAAAAAUGUUCACCCAUGAACCCCCCUGA